UGGCGGCAUGCUUAACACAUGCAAGUCGAACGGUAACAGGUCUAGCUUGCUAGAUGCUGACGAGGUGGCGGACGGGUGAGUAACGCGUGGGAAUCUGCCUUCUAGGUGGGGAUAGCCCGGAAGAAAUCCGGAUUAAUACCGCAUACGCCCUACGGGGGAAAGCCGGGGAUCUUCGGACCUGGCGCUAGUAGAUGAGCCCGCGUGAGAUUAGCUUGUUGGUGGGGUAAUGGCCUACCAAGGCAACGAUCUCUAGCUGGUCUGAGAGGACGAUCAGCCACACUGGGACUGAGACACGGCCCAGACUCCUACGGGAGGCAGCAGUGGGGAAUAUUGGACAAUGGGCGAAAGCCUGAUCCAGCAAUGCCGCGUGUGUGAAGAAGGCCUGAGGGUUGUAAAGCACUUUCAAUCGUGAAGAAAAGUUGCAGGCUAACUACCCUGUGACCUUGACGUUAACGAUACAAGAAGCACCGGCUAACUCCGUG
rnacentral:rRNA from 1 species